rnacentral:rRNA from 1 species
UACGUAGGGCGCAAGCGUUAUCCGGAAUUAUUGGGCGUAAAGAGCUCGUAGGCGGUUUGUCGCGUCUGCUGUGAAAGACCGGGGCUCAACUCCGGUUCUGCAGUGGGUACGGGCAGACUAGAGUGCAGUAGGGGAGACUGGAAUUCCUGGUGUAGCGGUGAAAUGCGCAGAUAUCAGGAGGAACACCGAUGGCGAAGGCAGGUCUCUGGGCUGUAACUGACACUGAGGAGCGAAAGCAUGGGGAGCGAACAGG